rnacentral:lncRNA from 1 species
UAAUGUGCAGGUACAGAAUUAUCAUCAUAGCAAAUAGAAUCAUCUGAAUAUUGUUUGGAGGAUAACAAUUCCUCAAAUUGGCUCAUUUAAUUUAGACCGUACGCCCGGUUAUUGUUGUCUUGGUUACUGCAUUUGUUCAAACUACAAAAUACAUAUUCUUUUCAGUCAUGUAUAUUCGUACUGGCUUAACUAAUUAAUGAAUUCAUCAAAUGCCCUUGCUUAUGAUAGUAUCUCUUUGCCAUUUUCCUCUGCAUGCUUCUUUUCUAGGCUAUCUGUCUUUCCAUACCCUGCUCUCCUUACUUAUUUUAUUAUUAGUCGAAUAUAAUAUCAGAUCACCUACCAUCAUUGUUCUUUAUUACAAUCUCAUAGGAAAGAAGUCUGAUUAGUUGGGUAUUCUUAGCUAGCAUUCAAAAUGGGAUGUUGCACUGCCAUUAAAUGAGCAUAAAUAUAAUGAGAAGGUGCACACAAAGUGGAGGCUUAGAUUAAUGCUUUAGAGUUUAGCCUGAAUAUAGCCAAUCAGUAUUCUUACUAGGCUGAUGUUUAAGUACCUAUGCAACAAUAUCAGAGGGAUGCAGCACCUAAAAUAUGUAGGGUUUGUAAGCUUGGAGCAAGAGUGCAAUGGAAAAUGUUUACUGUUUUCCAUUGAAACAGAUAAGAAAGUAAUUUAGUUUGGGUGGAUUGAUUAGUUAUAAAAAGUAGAUGGUCCUUCGCUUGGAUCUUUAGGUUUAGUCAUUGCUUUUCUACUUCAAACCGACGGAUUUAUCUUCAGCUAAAAAAAGGACAGCGGGCUUGGUUAGCUUCAAGAAGAAAAAUAUUUCAAAACCGUGUAGCUAUAGAGAAAUAUUCCAUGUCUAUUUCCCUGAUUUCCAGUCCACUUUAUGAAAGCCUGAUGUAACUGUUUGCGUAAGUGGUUGUAUGAUAUGUUGAAUAUGCUGUGUCGGGCUAGACGGAUAUGUUUGCUUGUCGUUGGAAAUAUUCACCUGUUGUGUUCUGCAUUGACCUGCAUUUAUAUUGGCAGCUCUGUUCUUAUUUGUCUCUGUUCUGAUAGUUUUAGGUGAGAACAGAGUAUUUAUAGUUGUGACAUGCACUACAGGCUUUUCAUAAUUAUUAAUUCUUUAAAUGUGACUGUGCCACCGUGCCGACAGAUAUGUGUGCCUCAGUUUAGUUGAUGUGCCUACCGUGUUUCAGGCGUGUUGUUUUUCUUAGAUAAUCAUAAAUUGACAGGGUGCUUGCUGGUAUUAGUUAAAAACUUAAAAUAUCUUACAUUAGGAUGUACUGUGUUGUGCUUUCAUGCAAUUGUCUUGAUUUAGACAGCAACUGAACCAAGUCACUGAUUAGUAGAAUUAGUCAUGAGAUGAGGCACAGAAGAGUCGAGAGGGGCAGCCGUCGUAUUUACGAUGCAUGAAAAUGGCUCAUGAUUCCAUUCAAGUAAUGGAUAUAUAGUACUCCCUCCGUCCUAAAAUACUUGUCGGAGAAAUGAAUAAAAAUGGAUGUAUCUAAAACUAAGAUAUGUCUAGAUACAUCCAUUCCUUCGACAAGUAUUUCCGGACAGAGGGAGUAGUUGCUAAUUAUAUUUAUACUGAUUGCAAGCAUAAUUAGCCUAUUGUCUAUGUAGUUUGCUGAUUAUACACUCUUUUCGUUCAUGUUUCACCCUCCUAAGGCAUUUGUUUUGUCUGCCGCAGGUUGCUUUUGUCCUCUCACCUGGUCUUUGGUCUUCGUCUAUUGCUCUGCUGGCUUGUCAUCUCCUCGGUUGGAGGUUGUUCUUGGUCCUGCCAUUUGUUCUUGUUAGAGCUCACUGAAAAUAUUUGUUCUCACCUAUGCUAAUGCCUUUCGGUUAAACUAGGAAUUAUUUCAUUGUUGGAAGCUUUCAUCUGCAUAUAUGCGUAAGGGGCUGUGUAUUUAUUUUGUUUCAUUCAUUUUUUGGUCUAUUUAUUUUGCACAGAAAACCAUUUGUGGUAUGCUUUGAUGGGUCUUAUUUAAUACAAUAUAGACAAAAUUGGAAGUAGUAGCAAACCAGCCAUGAAAAUUUUGAGAGAACUAUGCUAACCACAAGCAAUGAUGUACUCCUGGAUUUUGCCAUGAUAUUGUAGCCCACUUCCAAGACUCUAUGUACUAAUGUUAGCUACUUGCUUCUUUAGCUGCUCUAAUUAGG